rnacentral:misc_RNA from 1 species
AACGAGGCCGACCUGCGGCUGAGUUACCUGCGGAGGGAUCAUUACCGAGUUUACAACUCCCAAACCCCUGUGAACAUACCACUUGUUGCCUCGGCGGAUCAGCCCGCUCCCGGUAAAACGGGACGGCCCGCCAGAGGACCCCUAAACUCUGUUUCUAUAUGUAACUUCUGAGUAAAACCAUAAAUAAAUCAAAACUUUUAACAACGGAUCU